AUGACCAUUCCCAGAUGGGCCUUUUCAGAUGUUCAGCUGGUAUCAUCUGGGCCAGGAACACUGAGACCUGGACAGAACCUCCAUCUGGUCUGCACAGUGACAGGAUUCUCUAUCAAUACACAGAAUUCUGGCAGGGAACUGGGUCCGUCGGGGAGCCUCCUGGGAACCCAGUCUGGAAUGGCCUUGCAGCAGAAGAAACUGUUCCUGCCAUAUGCAACCUCAAAAGUGUCUUUACAUAUCACUUUCCCCUUCCCCAUCCCACAACAAGACCCUUGUAGGAAGACUGGAUCCAUUCGGGAAAGUCGGCCUCCUGGGAAAGGUCUGGAGUGGGUUGCACGAAUAUACCCAUAUGAUGGGAGCAAAUACUAUGCUUCUUCUCUCCAGAGCCGUGCCACCAUUUCUGCAGACACCUCCAAGAACCAGUUCUCCCUCCAGCUGAACUCCGUGACAGCUGCCGACUCUGCUGUGUAUUUCUGUGCUCGAGAUGCACAGUGA